AUGUUGGGUCUUGUGGGUCGUGUGGCCGCUACUUUGGCCUCUGGGGCCUUGAGGGGACUCGGCCCUUCAGCGCCACUACCCCAAGCCCAGGUCUUACUGCGGGCCACCCCGGCAGCGCUCCAGCUUGCCAGACACUAUGCCACCUAAACAUCUUUCCGAAAGCAGGUGCUGCCACCAGGUGUAUCGUGGUGGUCAUUGGUGCAGUGGUGGAUGUCCAGUCUGAUGAGGGACUACCACCCAUCCUAAAUGCCCUGGAAGUGCAAGGCAGGGAGACCAGGCUGGUUUUGGAGGUGGCCCAGAGAGCGCAGUAAGGACUAUUGCCAUGGAUGGUACAGAAGGCUUGGUUAAAGGCCAGAAAGUCCUGGAUUCUGGUGCACCAAUCAAAAUUCCUGUUGGUCCUGAGACCUUGGGCAGAAUCAUGAACGUCACUGGAGAACCUAUUGAUGAGAGAGAUCCUAUCAAAACCAAACAAUUUGCACCUAUUCAUGCUGAGGCCCCUGAGUUCAUGGAGAUGAGUGUUGAGCAGGAAAUUCUGGUUACUGGUAUCAAAGUCAUGGAUCUGCUGGCUCCCUAUGCCAAGGGUGGCAAAAUUGGGCCCUUUGGUGAUGCUGGAGUUGGCAAGAUGGUACUGAUCAUGGAGUUGAUCAACAGUGUCCCCAAAGCCCAUGGUGGUUACUCUGUGUUUGCUGGUGUUGGUGAGAGGACCUGUGAAGGCAAUGACUUAUACCAUGAAAUGAUUGAGUCUGGUGUUAUCAACUUAAAAGAUGCUACCUCCAAGGUAGCGCUAGUGUACAGUCAAAUGAAUGAACCACCUGGUGCUCACGCCCGGGUGGCUCUGACUUGACUGACUGUUGCUGAAUACCUCAGAGACCAAGAGGGUCAAGAUGUAUUGCUCUUUAUUGAUAACAUCUUCCACUUCACCCAAGCUGGCUCUGAGGUGUCUGCUUUAUUGGGCAGAAUCCCUUCUGCUGUGGGCUAUCAGCCUACCCUGGCCAUUGAUAUGGGUACCAUGCAGGAAAGAAUCACCACCACCAAGAAGGGAUCUAUUACCUCUGUACAGGCUAUCUGUGUGCCUGCUGAUGACUUGACUGACCCUGCCCCUGCCACUACCUCUGCCCAUUUGGAUGCUACCACUGUGCUGUCCCUCAUUAUUGCUGAGUUGGGCAUCUAUCUAGCUGUGGAUCCUCUGGAUUCCACCUCUUGUAUCAGGAUCCCAACAUUGUUGGAAAUGAGCAUUAUGAUGUUGCUCGUGGGGUGCAAAAGAUCCUACAGGACUACAAAUCUCUCCAGGACAUCAUUGCCAUCCUGGGUAUCGAUGAACUUUCUGAGGAAGACAAGUUGACUGUGUCCCGUGCACAGAAAAUACAGCGUUUCUUGUCUCAGCCAUCCCAGGUAGCUGAGGUUUUCACAGGUCAUAUGGGGAAACUGGUACCUCUGAAGGAGACCGUCAAAGGAUUCCAGCAGAUUUUGGCAGGUGAAUAUGACCGUCUCCCAGAACAGGCCUUCUAUAUGGUGGGACCCAUUGAAGAAGCUGUGGCAAAAGCUGAUAAGCUGGCUGAAGAGCAUUCAUAAGGAGGUCUUUUUGGCAAACUAAGCACUGGUCCUCUUCCGUGCUGUGCUUCUCCUUGCCCCUAAUCCAAAAAUCUCGGUUUGCUCUGUAGGCCAUAUGAGAGCCUUGUUUGAAGACAUUGUCUGUCUGAAGGGUAUUUAAGGUUUCCAAAAAAUGUACAUCCCUC